GAAAAUUAUGGGAAGUCAGAAAUAUUACAAAUAAAAGAACCUCAAAAGUUGGAUGCAAAAAUAUUUGAAAAUGAUCAAAAAUAAAAUGGAAAAUGAAAAUUAAAUGAAAAAUAAAGGAAAAUAUCAAUUAAAUACUAUGAUUUUAAAAAUUAUGCAAAAAAUAUAUGUGAUGCAAAAUAUUUUUAUGGAUUUUCUAUAAAAAAAAAUUGAGAAAAAUGAAUUAAGAAUCAUUAAACAUAAAAUCAGAAAGUAAAAGGAAA
rnacentral:lncRNA from 1 species